CCUCAUCGCACGUCUGUCGCAUGUGUAUCGCAAUUGAGAAUCGAGUUUCCUGCGGAUCUACCUACCGCGACGAAACAAGACGAAACCGAUUUGGACACAGUGACAAGCGACGGCGGGCCAGCAGUCGACGGGGCAGCAGUCGACGGUCCGGCAGCGGCGAAGGCGGUGGCGUCACAACUACGCUACGCAUUUAGAUGGAUACGGACUGCUCCAGCUCCGAUCUCGCCGCGUGUCUAUCACACCUGUACUUCGCGAGUGUUAUGUACGAUGAUACGGAAUGAAACGAUUGUUGUGUGUUGACUCUCCGCCGUGCGCCGCGCGCCGGGUGACGAAGAUGAGUGAAGGUUACCAUGGGGGCGCUCCGAGUUUAUUUCGCUACGUCGUUCGUUCGCUACGUACGCUCAGUCGUUUCGUGUCCGAUUCUCCUUACAUGUACGGUGUUUUCGUGUGCACCGUACAUCAGUACCGUGAAUGUUUAAUUGAAAUAGCUAUCGCUCUGAGAUGAUACCGCGCGCGUUAGAUCAUUUUCACACUUUCUUUCGAGGAUGGCGUCAUGGCGAGGAGAUGGCGAUGGCGAGCCUCUCUCGCCGCGAAUUCUGUCCGUUGCUACAUUCAUGUCAUUCGUACGCGGGCGUUCUUGUUUUUGCAGGACGGCGUAAAAGUGAUUCCGCGAAUAAUUGCGUGCUCCGUACGGUCAAUGCAUCGUGCACUAGUUCGCGUGUUAUCAUGGAAUGACUUUUUUUGUACGCGCAGUUCCGAAUUUUCGUGUGUGACAGUAAAUCUUCUGACGAAAUAUCGAUUUUGAUCAUAACCUCGCGCGAUCGUGUGUCCCUUUUGCUACGUGAUGAUGUCGCUUCGCCGGUAGUUUCGUUAACAAAGUGUCGCGCGUUGCUGUGAUAAUUAGCAUGCAAUCAUAAUUGAUCUCUCGUUCGCGAGAAUCGCGAGUUUUGUUUUGUGCUCCAUUGACGGAAUCUGGGAGGAGGCGGAGGCUCGGGAGGAGCAUCAGGCAACGGCGGAACAACCCUGUGGAUGAAUGUAGCUGUGUUACUACUCCGCUUCUGCGCAUUGGUCCGUAUCACCGCAGUUUGUACCGUGGCUGAUUGUGAGUAACUCCGCUCGUUGCGCAUCGGGUCG
rnacentral:lncRNA from 13 species